rnacentral:rRNA from 1 species
UGCAUCGAUGAAGAACGCAGCUAACUGCGCGUCAUAGUGUGAACUGCAGGACACAUUUGAACAUCGACAUUUCGAACGCACAUUGCGGUCCGUGGAGAAAUAUCCAGGACCACUCCUGUCUGAGGGCCGGCUGUUAAAAUAUAAAUAUCACACUGUUCACAACCCUUUAUGCGUUUCACUAUGUGUUAGGGGUUGUGAAGAAUUGACGGUUCCGUUUUUAUGAGUUGUCGUUUUUAUAAACUAUAUCUCGCACGGUCCGUUUAAAUAUAAUUGAUAUUUGCGUUUAUAAUUAUUUAAUAAUUAUUAUAACGCAUACGAUAACAACCGAUCGUCUCUAGUCACUCUAGAUACAAACCGAUCGGGCGUCCCUCGGACGCGCGACUCUUCGACGUAAAAAAUCGACAGAGGGCAUGCGCGUCUUUAUACGGUGACUUGACCUAAACGGUAAUAGAGAGAUGAGAUCGUAUUGUGUUGUUAUACGUUUGUUUAUAUAUCAUAUAAAAAGUAGGCGGACUCGACGUCCGAAGAGCGCAUCGAUGCUACGUUGCUCUCUCGUUUGUCAACGAGGCGAGUCAACGGAGUGUCGUUGAGCUGACGGAUAUCGCGUCUGCCUCGAUUUUUAUCGUUGGCCUCAGAUCAGGGAGGAUCACCCGCCGAAUUUAAGCAUAUCA